rnacentral:lncRNA from 10 species
UGUGCCCAAAGUGGCCAGGCACAGGUUGGUUUUAAACAUUUUAGGGAGACAUGAGACAUCAAUCAAUAUAUGUAAGAAGUACACUGGUUCCAUCAGGAAAGACAGGAAGCUUGAAGCAAAGGCAGAAAGACAGGAAGUGGGGAGGGACUUCCAGGUUACAGGUAGGUGAGAGACAGAUGGUCACAUUCUUUUGAGUUUCAUAUUUUUGGUUUACAGUAUUGUGGUAUGUAAGAUAAGUCCUUGAUCUUUUGAGAUUCAUGCAGAAUUAAGCGGUAAGGUUUUGGCAUGUCUAUAACUAAUUUUCAAAUAAUUCAAACUGCAGAGGCGGGUCAGAGUUCUGUCAUUCACAACGUGGUCUAUCCACCAUCAGUUGUAGAUUCAGCCUCUCACAGUCUUACUUCAAAGACAGCGACAGUAAAUACCCGCUCGAGGUGUUGGUGAGGACAUGGGGAUUGGACCCUUGCACAUUGCUUGUGGGGAAGUAAAAUGGUGCAGUCUCAAAUGGCCUGGCUAUUCCUCAAAAAAGCAAAUAACACUCUUAAUCUGUGAAUAGAAGCCAAGAAAUCCAAAGACAUUCAGACAGUGGGUACUUAAUGUACCUAAAUGUC